UACAGAGGGUGCGAGCGUUAAUCGGAAUUACUGGGCGUAAAGCGCGCGUAGGCGGCUUUGCAAGUCGGGUGUGAAAUCCCCAGGCUUAACCUGGGAACUGCAUUCGAGACUGCAUUGCUAGAGUAUGGGAGAGGGAAGUGGAAUUUCCGGUGUAGCGGUGAAAUGCGUAGAUAUCGGAAGGAACAUCAGUGGCGUAAGCGACUUCCUGGACCAAUACUGACGCUCAUGUGCGAAAGCGUGGGGAGCAAACAGG
rnacentral:rRNA from 1 species